UACGUAGGGGGCAAGCGUUGUCCGGAUUUAUUGGGCGUAAAGAGCGUGUAGGCGGCUUUACAGGUCCGUUGUGAAAACUGGAGGCUCAACCUCCAGACGUCGACGGAAACCGUGUGGCUAGAGUCCGGAAGAGGAGAGUGGAAUUCCUGGUGUAGCGGUGAAAUGCGCAGAUAUCAGGAAGAACACCCGUGGCUAAGGCGGCUCUCUAGUACGGUACUGACGCUGAGACGCGAAAGCGUGGGGAGCGAACAGG
rnacentral:rRNA from 1 species